AAGUCGUAACAAGGUUUCCGUAGGUGAACCUGCGGAAGGAUCAUGUAAACGUUUUUCAAAACUUAAACAAGGGAGAAGCGGGCCGGGUCACGGGGGUAAACUUCGGUGGCCUGUCUUGUCUUCUUUCUUUUUAAACCCAUCGCGAACUGGAUUUCGUAGCACUUGGCGCCGCCAUCCCACUCGCCGAACGACGGCGUGCGCUUUCGAGCACACGACGUCUCUCGGCGACUGUGUGUGUGUGUGUGUCCUUUUGCGACCUUUUCUCAUUUUUUCACCCCUUUUUGAAAACAUUCAAAACUUUUACAACGAAUCUGUUUUUUCUUUUUCUCGCGCUCGUCGCAAGACAAGAGAGAGACAGUGAUCGCUUCUUUUAAUGCAAAAGAGAACAACUCUUAGCAACGGAUAUCUUGGUUCCC
rnacentral:misc_RNA from 1 species